rnacentral:rRNA from 1 species
UACGGGGGGGGCAAGCGUUGUUCGGAAUUACUGGGCGUAAAGGGCUCGUAGGCGGCCAACUAAGUCCGACGUGAAAUCCCCAGGCUUAACCUGGGAACUGCGUCGGAUACUGGAUGGCUUGAAUUCGGGAGAGGGAUGCAGAAUUCCAGGUGUAGCGGUGAAAUGCGUAGAUAUCUGGAGGAAUACCGGUGGCGAAGGCGGCAUCCUGGACCGAGAUUGACGCUGAGGAGCGAAAGCUAGGGGAGCAAACGGG